rnacentral:ribozyme from 14 species
AAGGAAAUCAAUUAUUUAUUAUUUGUUUAUCUAUUCAUUAUUAUUAUUAAUUAAUAAAUAAUACAAAUACAUUCUGUGUGCUGCUGCUUGUAUGUUAUUAUUAUUAGUCAUCAAUUUUGCUGAAUUCAACAUCUUGAGUCGCUGGAGUGUACACAAUGAAGGAAAAGUCAGU